rnacentral:rRNA from 1 species
AACGAACGCUGGCGGCAUGCCUAACACAUGCAAGUCGAACGAACCCUUCUGGGUUAGUGGCGCACGGGUUGGUAACGCGUGGGAAUCUGCCCUUUGCUUCGGAAUAACAGUUAGAAAUGUCUGCUAAUACCGGAUGAUGUCUUCGGACCAAAGAUUUAUCGGCAAAGGAUGAGCCCGCGUAGGAUUAGGUAGUUGGUGGGGUAAAGGCCUACCAAGCCGACGAUCCUUAGCUGGUCUGAGAGGAUGAUCAGCCACACUGGGACUGAGACACGGCCCAGACUCCUACGGGAGGCAGCAGUGGGGAAUAUUGGACAAUGGACGCAAGUCUGAUCCAGCAAUGCCGCGUGAGUGAUGAAGGCCUUAGGGUUGUAAAGCUCUUUUACCAGGGAUGAUAAUGACAGUACCUGGAGAAUAAGCUCCGGCUAACUCCGUGCCAGCCGCCGCCGUAAGAC